GACGAACGCUGGCGGCGUGCUUAACACAUGCAAGUCGAACGGAAAGGCCCUGCUUUUGUGGGGUGCUCGAGUGGCGAACGGGUGAGUAACACGUGAGUAACCUGCCCUUGACUUUGGGAUAACUUCAGGAAACUGGGGCUACACCCGGAUAGGAGCUCCUGCUGCAUGGUGGGGGUUGGAAAGUUUCGGCGGUUGGGGAUGGACUCGCGGCUUAUCAGCUUGUUGGUGGGGUAGUGGCUUACCAAGGCUUUGACGGGUAGCCGGCCUGAGAGGGUGACCGGCCACAUUGGGACUGAGAUACGGCCCAGACUCCUACGGGAGGCAGCAGUGGGGAAUAUUGCACAAUGGGCGGAAGCCUGAUGCAGCAACGCCGCGUGCGGGAUGACGGCCUUCGGGUUGUAAACCGCUUUCGCCUGUGACGAAGCGUGAGUGACGGUAAUGGGUAAAGAAGCACCGGCUAACUACGUG
rnacentral:rRNA from 1 species